GGAGGGUGCAAGCAUUAAUCGGAAUUAUUGGGCGUAAAGGGCGCGUAGGCGGAUUAGCAAGUCAUGUGUGAAAUUCCAAGGCUUAACCUUGGAGCUGCACGUGAAACUACUAGUCUAGAGGUAAGGUGGAGAAAACGGAAUUCCCCAUGUAGCGGUGAAAUGCGUAGAUAUGGGGAGGAACACCGGUGGCGAAAGCGGUUUUCUAACCUUCACCUGACGCUGAGGCGCGAAAGCGAGGGGAGCAAACAGGAUUAGAUACCCUGGUAGUCCUCGCCGUAAACGAUGCAUACUUGAUGUGACUGGGCUCAACCCCUAGUCGUGUCGAAGCUAACGCGAUAAGUAUGCCGCCUGGGGAUACGCUCGCAAGGGUG
rnacentral:rRNA from 1 species